AACGAACGCUGGCGGCAUGCCUAACACAUGCAAGUCGAACGAGAACGUCGGGCUUAGGGGCGCACGGGUGCGUGAGGAGGGGGAACCUGCCCUUGGGUUCGGUAUAACUGACCGUAGGGGGUGUUAAUAAAGGAUAGUGUCUUAGGAGCAAGGAGUUAUCGCCGUAGGGUGGGCCCGCGUUGGAUUAGGCGGUUGGUAGGGUAAAAGCCUACCAAUGCGACGUUCCAUAGCUGGUCGGAUAGCAUGCUCUACCGAAAUGGGACUAAGACACGGCCCAAACUCCUACGAAACGCAGGAGUAUGGAAUAUUGGACAAUGAACGCAGACCUGAUCCAGCAGUGCCGCGUAAGUGGUGAAGGCCUUAGUGUUGUAAAUCUCUCUUACCCGGAGUGAUAAUGACGGUACCGGGAGAAUAAGCACCGGCUAACUACGUG
rnacentral:rRNA from 1 species